ACACACAAUAACAUGCAUGAACACAGGGACAAGAUAAAGACACAAUCGGAACUUUGCUCUUUUACUAUUUCUUGGUGGGAGGGAAUUCAGAAAAAGCCUACAGGGUGUCGUUUUGACCCAGAAAGGCUGGCAGAGAACAGUUGGACUGUUGACAGAUAGUAAAGCCUCUCAGAAACAGGGUGGAAACAUAGGUUUUUAGGAUGCACACAGCGGUGAGUUUGGUGUUUCUGCUGAUCCUGGGGUCAGUCUGGACCCUCCAGGUGGCCGCUGUGCUGCCAGAAAGUCAGGCUAACUUUGAUUUGGACCAGUUUAUGGGAAGCUGGUAUGAGCUGGCAGUGGUCUCUAACUGCCCACACUACAUGCAGCACAAGAGAGAAAACCCCGUCGUUGUUGCGCUGGAGCUCAAACAUGCUGCUUCUGAGCAAAACUUCACAAUGACGGCGACUACUUUCAGGAAUGAUUCCUGUAAGGAGACGUCCACCGUUUACAGUCUGACCGACACUCCAGGACGAUUCUUCCACCAUUUUGCAAGGUUUGCGGCUGACAUUGAUUCCUUCGUGGUUCAUACUAACUACAAUGAGUUUGCUGUGAUGCUUCAGCUGAGCACAGAGAAACCUUCAGAAACUAAAACCACCAAAAUCAAGCUUUACAGUCGAACCACGGACACAAGUCCUGCCGCACUCGAUCUCUUUCAAGCUCUGGUCAGACAACAUGGGAUGAGUAAUGAUGCUGUCAUCAGGAAUCAGUCCAAAGGUGAUUGUGUUCCAGGUGAACAGCUGACAGAGGCCACAAAAACAAAUGUGGAGCCAAAGGAAUCCGCUGGUAUCUGACCUGGUGAGAAGACAAGAGACGCAGCGUUUGUCUUCGUUUGGUUUAAAACAUUUUCUCCACUUGUUAUACACAGACUCAGGCUCCCACAGGUCACAUAUGGCAGCCAGUAGGAACUGAAAUGUAGAAUUAAAUGAAGGGUAUCUUUGUGCCUUUAGGGUCCGUGUAUAUUUUGGCAAUUGGAUUGUCCGUUCUGAAACGGGUAUUGAAAUACAAAAAACGAGUGGCUAUUUGAUUUUCGUUUUAAAAUACAAAAAAUAAAAUUGAAAUAAAAGGCGUUUUUCCUUUUUAUGAUCAAAAAGGGAUAUACUAAAUUUUAAAAAUGCUUUGAUUUUCAUUUUAUAUUUAGAAUAACAAAAAAGUAAAAUCAGUAAUAGACAGAAACGAAAAAAGGUCCGUUUUUUCAUUUUCUGAGACCGGAAGUGGUCAUCAGCAAGUGUGGAGCCAAACAGAGUACGGUGCAUAGACUGGAUUUUUUUUUUCGUAAGUUUUCAUGGUCAAAUGAGAGAUCAGGUGGCUGAUCUUAAAAUAAAUCAAUAUUGAUUUUUUUAUAGAGCGUUAAAGUUUUGCGAAGCCAGGGGGCGGGGCUACUUGAUUGACAGUCUGGUCUGGAAAGAUUGACAGGUCCUAUGGAGGAGGCAGCAGAGACUCUGCUCUCCUCGUUUGGAUUAAUUCUAAUAUAAUAACUGUUGGUUUAUUUAUCGGUGGAGCAGCAGAACAUUUUCCACAGACAGUUUUCCUGCCCGUUGGCUUGUUUUAACCAGUUUUCUGCCUUCGGCUGAUUCUACCAACAGACACUGAAAGGACUCUGAUAGUUCGAGUGAAAGUAGCAGUUCCUCCUGAAGGUCAGAGAUUGCAGCAUCUGAGGGCCUCUUCAAAAGAAGACGUAGUUGAUGAAGGCGUUCUGGAGCAGGACCAGAAAGACCACGACCAAGCAGCCUUGAGAUCUUAGGCAGCGUCUCCCUCAGAUCCCUCUCUAUCUCCCCACACAUCCACCAACCACUGGAACACAUCUCCAAAGUUCUGCUGGUCCAGCUCAGCUUCCCCUCAGAAGAAGUGCCACCACCUGCCAGAUGAAGGAGCCUUUUGAGAGGCAGCUGGCAUCGUGAUUGGACUGUACUUUGGUCUGUUCCAAUCCAGCUUCAGCUCCAGAGACGGCAGGCGGGACGAGUCAACGGAGGCCGGAUGGACGAAGACAUGCAGCUGAGUACAAUCCAGAAAACAACAGAGGAGGAGUGCAGCAGCCCAGAGCCAGAACAACCAGAGUAGCAUCGUAUGUCUCUUAGAAAACAUCAUAGUAUAGCCUUUGGGAUGAAAAAAUGCCAUCAUAUACAUCGUAUAUUGUACAAAUAACAAGUCAAAGGAAAGAGACAUACAUUGUAGAAUUGUAGUAAUUGUGGGCUGCCUGAUUUACUGAUUAUCAGUGUUUUAUUUUUUACUGAUUUAUGGUAAUAAAUGAAUUUAAAAAUGGCGCUACUUUGGCUGUGAACCUUUAUCUACCUGUGGUCGCUCUGUCUUCUGGAGUGAUUUGAUUGGUUAUACGUCACGAAUACAACUCCUUUAACUUAACAUCUGUAAACAAAACAAAAAAAUAUCAACAAAGUUUUCUGUUAGAGUUUGUGUUCUUCUAAGUUUAACUCAAGAUUUUAAAUACUUUCAUUUACUGCAAAUGAAUAUCUACUCCAAAUGUCUCACUAAUAAUCAUUAUCAGCCUUAAAAACCCACAAAACACCCCUCUAUACUCGACCACACUUAGUACAGUCUGGUUCCCCCUUCUAUAAAUGUGCUUGGAAUCUUCCACUUCCUGUUUGUCAAAGUGGCCUUCUACCUGGACAGGUUUUGUUGGAGCUCAUGCAACAAACAUUUUGGGUAACUGCACUUUAAUAUGGAUGGAUGACACUGAAUUAGAGUCUGUUUUAAUGAGACUGAGUUGAGAUGUGUAGCUCUGUCAUUAAAUAGUAAAUUAUUUCUCAGAAUUCACAGAGAAAAGUCUGAAAUGUUUGCUAGGUUAGCGUCCCACAUGUUCUUUGGCUCAGCUAAAGCUAACUCUCUCCAACUUCUGGAUCUCUUGAGUUGCUUGUUGUUAAAAUAUCUUGCUAGAGGUGCUGAAGCUCAGAAAGUCUGAGAUGUUUGUUCAAAAUAAGCUCAUUCUCAAGUCUGAUCUGAACUGUCCUCUUUUGUUUGAACUUUCCCUAAACUUAGGAGUUAAUGACAGAGCAGCACAUCCAGACUCAGUCUCAUUUAUGUAGAGAUUAAACUUCAGUGUCAUUCAUUGAUGUUAAAGUGCAGUUUUUCAAAUGUUUGUUGCACAUGCUCCCGACCAAACCAGUCCAGGUGGAAGACGAUGUGAAGAGAAAGCUCCAGAGGAUGAAUAUCAUACAUUUACGUUGGAAAUAAAUGUCCUUUAAUUAGAUAUUGUCAUGCAAAAGUUGGAUUUCCCUUUAAUGAUGUUCAAAUCUUUGUUGAGUGUUUUGUUGAUGUUGGUUUCUAAAUGUUUUCUGACACUCGGCCCCAAAGAUUAAAACCUUCUACAGCUCACAAGCUGCAACAAUUCA